rnacentral:rRNA from 1 species
AGAGUUUGAUCCUGGCUCAGGAUGAACGCUGGCGGCGUGCCUAAUACAUGCAAGUCGAACGAGGUGCUUUUGUAGCAAUACGAGAGUAUCCGAGUGGCGAACGGGUGAGUAACGCGUUGGUGACCUGCCCCAAAGUGUGGGAUAACAGUCCGAAAGGAUUGCUAAUACCGCAUGUGGUCAUUGGAUUUAGAAACUGAUGACUAAAGGAGCAAUUCGCUUUGGGAGGGACCUGCGUCCCAUCAGCUAGUUGGUGAGGUAACGGCUCACCAAGGCGAUGACGGAUGGGGGACCUGAGAGGGUGACCCCCCACAAUGGAACUGAAACACGGUCCAUACACCUACGGGUGGCAGCAGUAGGGAAUAUUGCACAAUGGGCGAAAGCCUGAUGCAGCAACGCCGCGUGUGUGAUAGAGGCCUUCGGGUCGUAAAGCACUUUUCUGGGAGAUGAGAAAGGACAGUUCCCCAGGAAUAAGUCCCGGC